UGGUGCCUAUACAAUCAAAUGAAUUACAAAAUAAAGCACAGAAAAUGAUCAGAAUGAUUAGAAGUACAUUUUUACAACAACAAAAAAACAUGAGUAAGGUCAAUUAAAAUUAAUUGAUAGAUUGUCAUCCCCGCCCGCCCCUCUGAAAUCGUCCUGCCCCCGAUUUUUUUAUUUUUGAAAAAUUAACGAUUUCCGGAUUUUGUUCAUCUCCGUUUCCGGUAACCGUCAAUAAUUUUGUUUCCUUCAAAACUUCCUGUUUCAAAUUUCGGCUGUCGUAUUUUUUGGAGUAAUUAAAAAAGAUUCUGUAGCUCUAUGAUGAUAAAAUCGUCUCCCGAGAAUAGAGAUUGAUUAUCGAGAAGGGCAUGAAAUAAUUGUGUUACAAGUAAAAUGUUGUCCAAGAUGGCAAAUUGCGGCAUGACACAAAUUUCUGUGAUUAGAAAACGUUGAUUUUUUUAUUGAUAAAAUGACUUUGUGGCCGGAAUUUUGGACUGUGAAUUAUACCCAAAGAACAAGAAUAUUGAAACACAUUGGUACAAAAACAUCACUGUAUAAACAAAAUGACACAAGCACGAACUUGUUAGAUUUAUGACAGUAUAUUGAGUUUAAAAAGUCGGCAAACAUACGCUUAGAUUUACCCAUGGCUAUUUUUUGGUUGACAAUCAGCAAACACCUUCUGUCCCAAUACCCUCAAUAGAGCCAUUAAACAACUUCUCUUUUUUGGUUUAGUUCAUGUUUUACAUAUUAAAUAUAUUUACAUCUAUAAGAAGAACCAUAAAAGCACCAACCCUAUUGUUUUCAUAAAUGUUUCAUUUUAUUCUGUACUCGUAAUUUUUUAGUUGCAUAUUUGUUUCAUUUAAUGGAGACGAGAAAAAAAACGUCGAUUAGAAAGUCACAUAAAUUUGGUGAAGGUAGUCCAACUGAAGAGAGCAGUCUUUUUUGUUUUUGCUGUUAAGGUUUCUAAAUCCGCAAUUACAUGUAGAACAGUGGUUGCCAAUUAGAGAUUUUUAUGCAGGUUAUGAUUUGAAAUACAUUUAUAUACAUGAUAUAAGCUUAUUAUUACACUUGCAUAUUUGAAGAACACGUCACGAGAGGGUUUCAUAAGAAAUAAAAAUUAAAAAAUUAAAUCCU
rnacentral:lncRNA from 1 species